rnacentral:rRNA from 1 species
GUUUCGGCGGCCAUAGCGAGAGGGAAACACCCGGCUCCAUUCCGAACCCGGAAGUUAAGCCUCUCAGCGCCGAUGGUACUGCAAGUGAGAACUUGUGGGAGAGUAGGACGUCGCCGGACAAU